GGCAGAAGAAACAACGCUGCAUGUGUUUCAUUUACUAACAAGAACUUCUUAGAGUCGUUCAUUCAACAACUAGAAUGGGCCUAAUUAGUAGAAACCCCUCAGCUGGUGACAUCUGAUAUUUCCCCAAAACAAAGGAGAGACCAAAAGUGGUGACAAGGGUCUCCCACACACGCAGAAUGUGGACUGCGGUCAGGGAGCACAGGAAGUUCACCGAGGCUGAAAUAACACACCCAAACCGAGCCUGACAUUCACGUGCCUGUUAUCUACACAGGGCGAAGUGAAGAAACGGAGAAAGCGGGAGAAAGGCAGCAGCAAUUAAGGAAAACUAGAAGACUGUUGAUACAAAGUUACAGUCAAUGCUUUGCAGACUUCACAAGUUCACGCACGGAAGCUAGGAAACAAAUCAAUACCCGAGCAAGAUUGAGUUGAUUUUGUACAUAAGGAAAUUGCUGUACAAGACUUUUCCCCCCUCCUGUAUAGAAACAAAAUCUUUUGUUCUCCUUUUUGUCUUUUUCAAGUGUCAAUGAGCCUGAUUUUGGGUAAUUGUACAUCAACUCUUGCCUUGAUAAAGUCUAAUUUCCACAAAUCUAAAUGAUAUAGAUUUGAUUCCACAUUAAAUGUG